GAAAUGAGAUAAGUAAUGUGAAUUGCAGAAUUCAGUGAAUCAUCGAAUCUUUGAACGCACCUUGCGCUCCUUGGUAUUCCUUGGAGCAUGCCUGUUUGAGUAUCAUGAAAUCUUCAAAGUAAAUCUUUUGUUAACUCAAUUGGUUUCUACUUUGGUAUUGGAGGUCUUUGCAGCUUCACACCUGCUCCUCUUUGUUCAUUAGCUGGAUCUCAGUGUUAUGCUUGGUUCCACUCGGCGUGAUAAGUUAUCUAUCGCUGAGGACACUGUAAAAGGUGGCCAAGGUAAAUGCAGAUGAACCGCUUCUAAUAGUCCAUUGACUUGGACAAUACUUUUAUGAUCUGAUCUCAAAUCAGGUAGGACUACCCUCUGAACUUAAGC
rnacentral:misc_RNA from 1 species